CGGGGAAUUUUGGACAAUGGGGGCAACCCUGAUCCAGCAAUGCCGCGUGUGUGAAGAAGGCCUUCGGGUUGUAAAGCACUUUUGUCCGGAAAGAAAACGUCGUGGUUAAUACCCGUGGCGGCUGACGGUACCGGAAGAAUAAGCACCGGCUAACUACGUGCCAGCAGCCGCGGUAAUACGUAGGGUGCAAGCGUUAAUCGGAAUUACUGGGCGUAAAGCGUGCGCAGGCGGUCCGCUAAGACAGAUGUGAAAUCCCCGGGCUUAACCUGGGAACUGCAUUUGUGACUGGCGGGCUAGAGUAUGGCAGAGGGGGGUAGAAUUCCACGUGUAGCAGUGAAAUGCGUAGAGAUGUGGAGGAAUACCGAUGGCGAAGGCAGCCCCCUGGGCCAAUACUGACGCUCAUGCACGAAAGCGUGGGGAGCAAACAGGAUUAGAUACCCUGGUAGUCCACGCCCUAAACGAUGUCAACUAGUUGUCGGGUCUUCAUUGACUUGGUAACGUAGCUAACGCGUGAAGUUGACCGCCUGGGGAGUACGGUCGCAAGAUUUAAAAACUCAAAAUUGAAAUUGACGGGGGUUCAUAGCUGUUU
rnacentral:rRNA from 1 species